rnacentral:rRNA from 1 species
UGCCAGACUCCUACGGGAGGCAGCAGCGAGGAAUAUUGGUCAAUGGUCGGGAGACUGAACCAGCCAAGCCGCGUGAAGGAAUAAGGCCCUACGGGUCGUAAACUUCUUUAGUCAGGGAACAAAGGGAGCCACGCGUGGCGCUGUGAGUGCACCUGAAGAAUAAGCAUCGGCUAACUCCGUGCCAGCAGCCGCGGUAAUACGGAGGAUGCGAGCGUUAUCCGGAUUUAUUGGGUUUAAAGGGUGCGUAGGCGGAAUAUCAAGUCAGCGGUAAAAAUUCGGGGCUCAACCCCGUCGUGCCGUUGAAACUGAUGUUCUUGAGUGGGCGAGAAGUAUGCGGAAUGCGUGGUGUAGCGGUGAAAUGCAUAGAUAUCACGCAGAACUCCGAUUGCGAAGGCAGCAUACCGGCGCCCAACUGACGCUGAAGCACGAAAGCGUGGGUAUCGAACAGGAUUAGAUACCCGAGUA